rnacentral:tRNA from 1 species
GACGUUUUAACUCAACGGUAGAGUAAUGACAUGGUAAGGCAUAAGUCAUCGGUUCAAGUCCGAUAAAGGGCU